CUGCUGAGGGCCACGCCUGUUCCUGAGGAUUACCUCUCCCAGACCCCAACCCUCCUUCCACCACACCUCAGCCCUGGGAGGCCUGGUGACCAGCUGGGAGUGCCGGGCUCCAAGGCUGAGAGGUGUUGCUCAAUCAGCUGAAGUGUCCUAGUCCAUGAAAAGGGUACGAUUUCUCUUUGCCGAAGAGACAAUGCGGGAACCUUAGGAGAAAACAGCAGGAAAAGACAUUGCUGCCCAGGUGGACACACAUCUCCUCCAGGUGCGCUUUCCUUGGCUUUUGAGGCCUCGUAUAUUUGGACGUUGAAGGCGUCCCUCAGGUACCACCUGGAAUGGUUUGUGCGAGUGGAGCUCUACUACCAAAUGAAAACUUUCAAUUACAUUAUUGUGCAUAAUGGACUUGGGGGCCUUUUUAAAGCAAAGGAAGUAACACUGCAGGAAAGGCAAAAUGGAAUUAAAGAAGCGGAGAGAAGACGGGUCAAAUUUCAAUCAAACAAGAGAGGAGAUGCUCCCAGAGGAACCAGUCUAAGGUGAGGUGUCUUGCAGGCACGGCACUGCACCCUCACUUAGCCCUCUGGUCGAGGCAAUUGUCAUUUCUCUGCAGGCUGCUAGAACAGUACGUCCAUGCACUGAGGAGAGAGAGUCUGCCAAGAGGAAGCCCGGGCCCGGGGCCACCCAGCUGACACCCUGGGUGUUGGAGCCCACCCAGCCUCACAACUCAGCCACUUAGACUCCUGCACAGGUCCUAGGAUUCAUUCUGAUCCGAAGCAGGAGGAUGUGACAGCCUUGACCCCAACUCUCUGGGACUCAACAUGCAGCCCGUGGUAUUUGCUGUCCAGCAUUGGUCUGGUCCCUGAUGUUGAUAACCAAGCAUCCAGCUUAUCCCUAAGACUGAGCCUCCCUCCCUCAGUGUAUGCUCUGGUUCUUACUGUCAGUCAGGCCCUGGAUUUGUCCUUUUUCUGGUAACUGCUCAGCACCCCCCGUGCCUCCUAGAUUGGAGGCCCUGCCCAGCCUCCUUUGAGGAAGAAGAAGCAUGUACAAACAUUUACCAGGUGACUUCAGCAUCCCAGCCACAAUUCCAGACCCUGGGCCACAUCUUCUCCUUUUAUAUCCUCAUGGCAGUUGUGCAAGGCUGAACUGGUCCCCAGCAUACAUGAAGAACAUUGACGCUAUUGAAGCUCAGAGAUGAUAAGGACAUUUCCCAAGGUCAUCUGGCUGGGGAGUGGAGGAGCAGGCAUUGGAGGCCUGGUCAGUGUCACCUGAGAGCGUCACGUUACUACCGCUCCACUCGGGGCCUCCCCGGGACUGAAGCGCAGCUCCAAACUGCAGCCGAGUCUGGGCUCUCUCUCACCUGCCAGCCGCCUCACUAACGGCUGCUCCUCCUGGAUUUGCCACGGCUCUGUCUUCUCCCCUGUGUGGGGUCCCUCACUGUGGUCAACCUUGCAUCCCACGUGGCCAACCGGCCUUGAGGAAGAAAGCAAACUCUGGGCCUGAAACCAACUUAGCCACUUAAUAGCUUGCUCCGUGAGCCUGAACAAGUUUCUUAGUUUCUCUGCAAGUCGGUUUCCUCAUUCGUGUAAAACCCACCCCGUAGAGUGGUUGUACAGAUGUAAAUCUGAAUACCCUUUAAAAUCCUGAAUUUAAAAGCUUUUUUUCCAGCAACAUAGUGAGACAUCAUCUCAAAAUAAAUAAAUAAAUAAAAAA
rnacentral:lncRNA from 1 species